UACGUAGGGUGCAAGCGUUAAUCGGAAUUACUGGGCGUAAAGCGUGCGCAGGCGGUUGUGCAAGACAGAUGUGAAAUCCCCGGGCUUAACCUGGGAAUUGCACUUGUGACUGCACGGCUAGAGUGUGUCAGAGGGGGGUAGAAUUCCACGUGUAGCAGUGAAAUGCGUAGAUAUGUGGAGGAAUACCGAUGGCGAAGGCAGCCCCCUGGGAUAACACUGACGCUCAUGCACGAAAGCGUGGGGAGCAAACAGG
rnacentral:rRNA from 1 species